UUAUACAAAAUGCCCAUUAGACCACAUUACUCUGUACUCUUACACUUUACCACUAAAUAUAAAUAAAAAGGAGAGUAAGAUGUGUUAAUGUUGCUUCAAGAAUCACAUUUCUCCAUUAAAAAACAUACUUUUGUAGUUCCACAGCACUUAUACUACAAAAGACUACAACUCCCGUUAGGGCGGACCUGUCACGUGACAGCGGCGUGUUGUGUCAUGUGACCUUGACACGGCUCUGUCAGCCCGUUUCCCUUUUUUCGCAGUGCCACAGGCUCGCGACUGAACACACUUAACGCUCUGCUAAACACGCGCACGUUCCACUCGGGUUGUUUCAUGGCUCUGAAACUUUACUCCGGCGCGUGCACACUUCAGUUUCUCUGCCUACCUGGAUUUGUACAACUCUCGCAUGUCAGACUGUGGUAGACUCCCCGGCAGGCCUCUCUCUGUUCACCGUGUGAGCAUCAGUCCUCACGCCGCGGUUGGGUGGGUCCAGCUCGGCCACAGAGGCAGCAUGGGCCCGGUGCACCGCUCAGCCUCAGAUUAAAAACAUAUUUGUGUGUAACUGUUUUAGUUUGGAUGUUACUGCUACUGGAGGUCGGCUGUCACAAUGAACGGCACUCAGCAGAGUGAUACGAAGAGACAGCACCUCCUGGAGAGGCUGCUGGACGCCGUCAAACAGUGCCAAAUCCGUUUUGGAGGAAGAAAGGAGAUUGCCACAGACUCUGACAGCAGGGUGAUCUGUCUGUGUGCCCAGUUUGAAGCGGUGCUGCAGCAUGGCCUGAGGAAGAGCCGAGGCCUGGCUCUCACCGCCGCCGCGCUGAAGCAGGCAGCGGGCUUCAGCACCAAGACUGAAGCAGAGUUGACUUUCUGGUUCUACGUGAAGGAGCAUCUGAACCGGCACGAGCUCCAGCGCUUCUACUCCCUGCGUCACAUCUCCUCCGAGCUGGGCCGGGGUCGAGCCUGGCUGCGCUGCGCCCUCAACGAGCACUCGCUGGAGCGCUACCUGCACACACUGUUGGCUGACCGCCCACGCCUGGGAACUUAUUAUGAAGACUGGGCUUUUAUUCUGGAUGAAGAGAGAGCAAGUAUGCUCCCCACCAUGGCUGCAGGUCUGAACUCCAUCCUGUUCGCCAUCAACAUCGACAACACUGACCUGAACGGCGGGGUGACGCGAGGAGGAGGCUCCUCUGUGAGCGACCUCCUCAAGGAGUCCACGCAGGGCAUCGGCAGCCUGUGGAAAGAGUCGACUCAGGGCGUCAGCAGCCUGCUGCGAGAGAUCAGCACCGCCACGGCUGUGGUGCCCGGCUUCACCCCCAGAGUGGAGGGAGCCUCAGACCCGCUGCCCGUCCUGCCACGCAGCAGCUCUGCUGACUCAGUGCUGAGGAAGGAGCGCCGGAGGAAAAAGAAAAUCACCAACAUCAUUUCCUUUGAUGACGAUUUGGACGGCGGUGCGGAGGAUGAAGAGGAGGGAGAGGAGGACUCCCAGAAGAUGGGCGCGAUGAGGAAGAGCCUCACCGCUCCGGCUCAGGGCAGCGUGGAGGAAGGCGUAGAUCCUCUGGAGCCGGUGUUCUCCCAGUCACCGGCCCAGAACGGCCUCGCUGAACCGGGCAUCGUCAGCUGGGUGGGGUCCCCUCAUCCCUCUCGUACUCCACCCGCUACUCCACCUCCUCUGCCUAACCGUACGAGUAUAGACAACGAGGAGGAGGAGGAGGAGGAGGAGGAAGAGGAGGAGAUGUACAAACGCAGAGCGCAGACCCAGGAGGAGGAGAGGAGCAGCUCUGAUCAGGUGGUGGUCGGCAGCCUGUCCAGCGUCUCCACGUGGAGCCCUCUGCAGCUGAUGAUGACAGAAAACAUCAGCUCGGACGUCCUGAUUCCUCUGAACCCUGCAGACUCUCAGACAGUGAGUCCUGUGGAGGACGCGGCUGCAUUUCCUGCUCAGUGUGAGUCAGCAGGACCGCAGGGAAACUGUGAGAGCAGCAGAUCGAUGCAAACGUUCACUGUGGAGUCCAGUUCACUGACGCAGGCGGCUCCGCUCUCCAGCGUGCUGCCGACACCUGGUCUGCCAGAGUCCAUGACAGUGGUGGAGCUGCGUCAGGCCAUUGUAGCCAUGAUGAACAGGAAGGACGAGCUGGAGGAACAAAACACGUCUCUGCGCAGUCUGCUGGACGGGGAGAUGGAGCACUCGGCAGGCCUGAGGCAGGAGACGGAUGUGCUGAAGAGGAAACUGGCGGAGCUGGAGGAGAGACACGCAGCCAAGGUCCAGGCUCUGGCCAGGGAGAACGAGGUCCUGAAGGUCCAGUUGAAGAAGUAUGUGGGGGCGGUACAGAUGCUGAAGAGAGAGGGGAGCCAAGGCAAUGAUGGUGGCAGAGAUGCACGGUGAGUUGAUAGAGUUUAACGAGCACCUGUACCGUUCCCUCAUGGCCAAAGACCACCUCAUCGUCCAGAUGAGACAGGAACUCAUUGACCUGAGAGGCCCGAUUCCAGGGGAUUUAAGCCAGACCUCCGAUGACCCCAGUCUGUCAGACUUUGAGAC